UUUGUUUUUCUUCCUCCUCUUCUCCUCUCCCGACUCCUCUUUCCCCCUUUCUUCUCAUUUCUUCUCCCGUGGAGGGAGGAGGGCGAGCUCGGGCGGCUUGGGAGGAGUGGGUAGCGGCCGACGGCGCCCAGCGGCCGGCCUGCGGUGCCCACGGUCGCGCCCGCGGCCGUGCCCGCGGUCGUGCCCGUGGCCCACGGCCGCUUCGGCGGCCCACGGCCGCAUCUGCGUCUCGCUGCCGGCGACCCGCAUCCCAUGGCCGACGACCCGCGGCCCGUGGCCGAGGCCGGCGCCCGCGGUUGCGGCUGCGGAUCAACCACCGGAGUAAGGGCGUUACCUGCUUUGAAGAAGAACGUCCGCCUCCUACUCCGGCAACGCAGCCCUUUGUUCCGGCGACGCAAGCCUAAUGCCAGAUCCUGUCCACCGAGGAGAGUUGUGAGAAAAGGAGAAUGGAGAAGAAACAGAGGAAGGAGGGUGGUGAAAAGCCUCAUCGAUCGGAGCUUCUUGUAGCCACCGAUUGCUGGGGAACGUGGACGGUUGUAACCGCCCACCAUCAGGCGAUUACAAACGCCCGCCCUUUGGUGUGAUGGCCUCUCCCCAUUCCUCUAGAAACAUGGACGGUUAUCACACUUAGCUUCGCUAUGAGUGCUUAAUUUUGUUAGACAUUCAGGUGAUGCCAUCUUAAAAGCUUUUUUUUUUUUGAUUUUUUUUUCUUCAAAGUUCUCUUUUUUUUUUUUUCUUUUUUCUUUUCCCUAUUUCUUCUAUGAUAUAAUAUUUAUGUUCAGCAAAAUAAACCCUAACAGCUACAAUGACUUCAUGGCACUGCAGAGCACCCAUCACAGCAAAUUAUUUAUCCAAGUUUGGCAUGUGGAUGCUAAAACUUAAUGUUGCAUGCACCUCAAAUGCUAAAAUCAGGCGAAAGAAAGGAAAAUCAGAGAAAACACAAUCAUGAUGUCUGUGCAGUAAAGAUGUCACUCUGGCAUAUACAAAGUUAAAAUCAAAAAUUUGAGAGGGAAAAUGGGGGAAAUGAAUGUUCUUAUGGCGAUCAUACAGGUCACGCAUAAGACACUACUCCAACAAAAAUGCACAAACGAACUCUUGUAUAAUCUAUAUUUUUAAAUCCAUUAUAAACAUUUAAGAGAAACAAAACUUAUAAGUCACACCGUGGUUGGCGGUAUCGGUACUAGGCACUGUACCGAUUCUCCGGUGGCACGAGUCGGUACAGGCCUUCACCGUGCUGGGCCGGGCUUGUACUGACAGAGGAGAGGGCACAUAGAUCGUGGGAGAGAGAAAAAGAGAGAGAGAAGGGGGAGAGAGGGAGGGAGAGGGAGGGACGUCGGCGGAGGGCUGGUGGAGGCCGCGGGAGGCGAGGCCGCGGCCGGUUCUCCUGUUUUAAAUGAAAUAGGGGUUCGGCUGCAGCCUUAAAAAUUUUGCAAUUUUUAAGUAAAAUCGGCAAGUGAUUUGCCAACUCCACUUAAAAAUCACAAUUUUUAAGGCUGUGGCCGGACCCCUGUUUUGAACCUGCAGCCUCCACCGGCCCUCCACAGGCAUCCACCACCCUCUGCCGGCCUCCCUCCCCCGUUUGUUCUCUUUUUCCUUCUCCUUCUCCGAUUCUGGCAACGAUUUUCGUUUUUGUUGGCAGAACCAUACCGGUGAGCCGUUGGUACGGCUCGGAACGGCUGGAACCAUUCGGUUUAGGACGAUUCCAUCGACCCUAGGUCACACACUAAAUAUGCAAGUGUACAAAUGCAUUUACACAGGGAAAGGUGACUAGUCUUACUUCCUCAUCAUACCCACUCAAUUGUUAUGCAAUUGCUGAUACUCUCCUUUUUUUCCCUAAAAGAAGUAAUUGAUGUGAAAUUACUUUUUCGUCAUUUACACUAGCUCACCUCAAAUGUGUUGGAAAUCAGCUGUUUACCAGUUUAAUUCCUUUCAGCAAUUUCCAUUUAUCUCCCAUGUUUGCACAAAAAUAAUCAUGCUAUAUAGCCUUUCAAAAAAAUGAAAUAGUCCAUGUCUCUGUUAUGAGAGAAAGAAUCCCCUGAUUUUACUUCAGAUUUGAUAGAGAUUCCCUUUGUUAGCAUCGGCCUUUCAUAUAGCUCACUUUAUGAACACUCCUUGGAUUUUGUUGUGUUGAUAUUUAAUUUCUUUUGACUUGGAAUUAAAUUUCAUCAUCUCCCUUUCAUUCAAAAAAGAAAAGAAAAGGAAAAAAAAAAUAAAAACCUGCACCAUGCAAUUAGGCAAUCUUUGCUCUGUAACUACUUUGUUGACAAACAUACCUGCACCAAUUAUAUGAUGUUGAGUUACUGUCAGUAGUGUGGUACCUCAUAUUCUAUCCUGUGCCUUAUUAACUACUAGAUGUUUGCAAGUUGAGAGAAAUGUAUCCUAGUGAUUUACUUUCUUUCAAGUGUUGAGGAUUGGGUACAGAUUAUGAUCUUGUACACCUUAUGUCUUUGGAGUUAGCUGGAAUAUGCAUUGCCCAAUUGAAUGUCUUCUCAUAAAUGUUCAACAACUUGGUUUGAAACCUAUAAUUACUUGUGAAAGAUAGCUUAUUCAUAAUUAUUUCCCAAUACUUUGGUUGUUUUACUUGAUCAUUGGUUUAGAUAUACUACUCCAUGCAUAUCAUAUCUUUAUUUGCUAUUUAUUUGUUUGGACUCCUUUACCGAAUGUCCCCCUAAGCCUUUCCCAUUGAAUAAAGAAAUGAUUAACUCGCUGCAAGAUCUCGCUAAAGUGACAUGGACUGCAAAAGAUCUUCGCUUUGCUUGCUGCAGAUGCUCUUAACAUCUGUUCUCAAUCUCUAGAAGCCAUAAUUAAGGAGAUGAAGUGCAGAUGCUUGAAAACUAUCCUUGAAAGCAAGCAAGAAAUGAAACAAAACUAAAGCAACAAGUAAGAUGGUUUAGAACAAUACCUGCAAGGCCCAUCUUCUGUGCGCAUCAUGCUGAAUAUUAUCUCUUUCCUCUUCAUGGGAGAAGCUAAGCAAGAAAUGAUGUUUUGCAUGAGUCUUCUCGGGACAUUCCGCGAAGCAACCCAGUUAUCUUAGUCUCUAAGGAAACCAUUCUUGCGGUCCAAGUCAUCGCACCAUAAAUUGAGGUCCUCCACCUUGCAUUCCCUUUGUUUGUGGUCGGACUCCUCGGGCCUUUCAUAGAUGGACUUCCAAUCCGGGAGAGCGAGCGGUGGUGCUGGUAGUGGCGGCGGCCGCGGUGGCGGUAGAGGGAGAGGCCGCAGGCCUAAUCAAGGCAAUGUCGCCGGAUUCCGGCAGCUGAACUCGCCAAAUUAUGGCGUUGGGGCUAGCGGUCCCCGGCAGGGUCCGGGAAGUGGCAGCGGUGGAUACUAUAGGCAGGCGCCCGCCGCGAAUUAUGGCCGUGGCGGCGAUGGCCGUGAGCGCAAUGAUGCGCCACGGCGGGCGAUGGCGGCGCCGCAUCCGAGAUGGGGCAGUCGAGGCUGCAGAGGGGCGCAUUUCGAGGACGCUGCGGUCCGGUCGCCGAGUUCAAGCUCGAUGAGUAACAGUUAGCAUAGUUCUUGGGAUUUUAAUUUAGUGAUCUCGCUUUUACAAUACUAUAUGAUCUUUUGAAGCCUUCACACUUACUGUAAGACAUAAUAUUUUUGGGUUGCAAUGUGUGUAUAUAUAUAUAUAUAUAAUCUAAUGCAAAUAUUAUGCUAGUACUGUAAAUAUUAACCAUUAUCAUAAAAGAAAAUUAUAAACUUUUUUUUGGGUGCGUGAACAGUUGAGGGUUCCACUCAUGCACUUAUUCUUCUAAUCUUCUUGCAGUUUGUCAUUUUUUUUUUUUUACAUGUUAUAGUCAUAAUUAUAGUUCAUCCAUGCGUCCAUAAUUCUAGUUUGAAAUACAUGACAAAGUUGGUCCUUAACUUAGCAAACUGAAAGCAUUGCCUAUUUUUGUGCAAUAUCUUGCAAAAUA